CGGGACGUAGCGCAGCCUGGUAGCGCGCUUGACUGGGGGUCAAGAGGUCGCAGGUUCAAAUCCUGUCGUCCCGA
rnacentral:tRNA from 1 species